rnacentral:lncRNA from 1 species
GAAAAUAAUAUUAACUGCCUCCCCCUUCACUUUUCACCUUCCCCUCCCCCACUUUCCCCUCCCCUCAAAAAUCUAGAUCCGGCGGCGCUCAGGCGACGGCGUUGGCUGACGGGCGGCGCCAUCUGCGGCAGUCGGCGUCCGUCGGGCGGAGCUCGGGCGCGACAUCGACGUCAGGUGGGCGACGACGGCGGCGGACGGGCGCGAUAGUGACAUCGGCCGGGCGGCGACGACGGUGUAGAUCGGGAUGCGACAGUCGAGCGACGACGGCGGUUGACGGGCGGCGGCGGCUGUGGCGCUCGACGGGGCUUGGGCGACGAAGGCGACAUGGAGCUUGGGGCGGCAACGAAUGCAGUCAACGAAGGUGGGGCGACGACUGACUAAGGCGGAGGCUUCUCGAUGUUG